UCCCCUAGUAACGGCGAGUGAAGCGGGAAAAGCUCAAAUUUGUAAUCUGGCGCCUUCGGCGUCCGAGUUGUAAUCUCGAGAAGUAUUUUCCGCGCUGGACCGCACAUAAGUCUGUUGGAAUACAGCGUCAUAGUGGUGAGAACCCCGUAUAUGGUGCGGAUGCCCAGUGCUUUGUGAUAUACUUUCGAAGAGUCGAGUUGUUUGGGAAUGCAGCUCAAAUUGGGUGGUAAAUUCCAUCUAAAGCUAAAUACUGGCGAGAGACCGAUAGCGAACAAGUACCGUGAGGGAAAGAUGAAAAGCACUUUGGAAAGAGAGUUAACAGUACGUGAAAUUGUUGGAAGGGAAACGCUUGAAGUCAGACUUGCAUUUUGGAGUUCAGCCGCAAGGUGUACUCUUCAAUUCGCAGGCCAGCAUCAGUUUUCGGGGGUGGAAAAUCGUGGUUUGAAGGUAGCAGUCUCGGCUGUGUUAUAGCUUUCCGCUGGAUUCACUUUUGGGGACUGAGGAACGCAGUACGCUUUUUGCAAGACUCUCGAGUCUUUCGUACUUAGGAUGCUGGUGGAAUGGCUUUAAACGACCCGUCUUGAAACCACGGACC
rnacentral:rRNA from 1 species